rnacentral:tRNA from 1 species
AGAUAAUGAAGUAAAAUUUUUACAGUUAGUUUCGACCUAAUAUUAGGAUAAUUAUAAAUCCCUUAUCUA